rnacentral:rRNA from 1 species
GAUGAACGCUGGCGGCGUGCCUAAUACAUGCAAGUCGUGCGGAAAGGCCCUUCGGGGUACUCGAGUGGCGGACGGCCGAGUAACGCGUGGGAACGUGCCCCAAAGUGAGGGAUAACGCACCGAAAGGUGUGCUAAUACCGCAUAUGGUCUUCGGAUUAAAGCUUCGGCGCUUUGGGAGCGGCCCGCGUACGAUUAGAUAGUUGGUGAGGUAAUGGCUCACCAAGUCGACGAUCGUUAGCUGGUCUGAGAGGAUGAUCAGCCAGACUGGGACUGAGACACGGCCCAGACUCCUACGGGAGGCAGCAGUAAGGAAUCUUCCACAAUGGGGGCAACCCUGAUGGAGCAACGCCGCGUGCAGGAUGAAGGCUUUCGGAUCGUAAACUGCUUUUAUAAGUGAAGAAUAUGACGGUAACUUAUGAAUAAGGAUCGGCUAACUACGUGCCAGCCGCCGCGGUAA